rnacentral:rRNA from 1 species
UGAGGAAUAUUGCACAAUGGGCGCAAGCCUGAUGCAGCGACGCCGCGUGUGGGAUGAAGGGGCUACGCCUCGUAAACCACUGUAGCCCGGGACGAAAAACGCCUUAGAGGCGUUAGACGGUACCGGGAAAGUAAGGGUCGGCUAACUACGUGCCAGCAGCCGCGGUAAUACGUAGGACCCAAGCGUUGUCCGGAUUUACUGGGUUUAAAGGGUGCGUAGGUGGGCUUAUAAGUCAGUGGUGAAAUCUCCGAGCUUAACUUGGAAACUGCCGUUGAUACUAUAGGUCUUGAAUUAUCUGGAGGUAAGCGGAAUAUGUCAUGUAGCGGUGAAAUGCUUAGAUAUGACAUAGAACACCAAUUGCGAAGGCAGCUUACUACAUAUAAAUUGACGCUGAGGCACGAAAGCGUGGGGAUCAAACA